AGUGCAUUAGAAUUCAUCCAUUUUCCAAUCCGCUUUAUCCUCACAAGGGUCGCGGGCGGUGCUGGAGCCUGUCUUCGGACUGUCGGCGGGGGACACCCGAACCGGUUGCCAGCCUAUAAAAAAGGGCCCCCCAAGACUGGAAGUGACUUCAUCAAGAUCAAAGUGGGCAGGUGUGGUUGGUGGAAGUGACAACCUCCCUCUAUUUUGAUUGACGGUGAAGUUAUCACUUUUAUAUUUUACAUGUUUAGCUUAAAACUAUGUAUCGUAGACAGACUUUUGACUAUAAACAGAGUCUAGCGAUAUGACCGCUAGUUGAACCUUAUGAGGUGACCUUAAUUUGAACUGCCUUGGCAACAUAAAAUACUGUUUACACCUUUCGUGAACAUAGACCACACAAGUACGUAAGCGCGUCUGGUGGCUAGUUUGCGGUUUCCCACCUACAGCUGUGUUCCAUCCAGAACAACAAGAUAACUUCUGAGAAAUGUCAGAGAGGGAUGGAAAAGACACCAAGGACAUUCAAACCGUCAUCCCGAAACAGAAACAGAAAAGGUGAUGCCCAAAACAGGAAAAUAUGAUACCCAUAAGGAGUGUUGAGGAGGCAAUUUGUCAAUUUGCUCUUGGCCCUCCUUGGACACCGGUUCUUUUAUCUCUCUAUAAGGUGGAAGAAGACCCAACACCACGUCGUCUUUUCUUCAGUUUAUCACAACGGAACAUGAAUCGAUUCGGGCUCCAGUGAGUGUCAGAUUUCAUCAGGAAGCCCCGAACAACCACAGUUACACGUAUAUAUAGGCAUGGUAUGUUAAUUAUGUUAAUAAGGGGCGGGCAGUCCUUCCCCUUAUGUAAAAAUCAGACACAAAGAAAGUCAAGCAAAGUUCGAUCUUGACAUGAUGACAAAGUACAGGCCGUAUCUGCUGGCCACAAAUUUUGAGAUUAGGGUUCCUCUUCGAGGGCACUCGACACCCUUCAGGGACUUUUACGAGGUGGUGGAGGCAAGAAAACCCUCGGGGGGCUGUUAAUCAUUCAAGGGGAGAUAUGACCC